rnacentral:rRNA from 1 species
CCCUGAUCCAGCGACGCCGCGUGUGUGAAGAAGGCCUGCGGGUUGUAAAGCACUUUUAGUGGGGAUGAAAAGCACAUUGCUAAUACCAGUGUGUCUUGACCUAACCCAAAGAAAAGGCACCGGCUAACUCUGUGCCAGCAGCCGCGGUAAUACAGAGGGUGCGAGCGUUAAUCGGAAUUACUGGGCGUAAAGCGUGCGUAGACGGUUAUUUAAGUCGGGUGUGAAAGCCCCGGGCUCAACCUGGGAAUUGCAUUCGAGACUGAAUAGCUAGGGUACGGUAGAGGGAAGUGGAAUUUCCGGUGUAGCGGUGAAAUGCGUAGAUAUCGGAAGGAACAUCAGUGGCGAAAGCGACUUCCUGGACCAGUACCGACGUUCAGGCACGAAAGCGUGGGGAGCAAACAGGAUUAGAUACCCUGGUAGUCCACGCCAUAAACGAUGAGGACUAGACGUUGGAGGGGUAAGCCUUUCAGUGUCGUAGCUAACGCGCUAAGUCCUCCGCCUGGGGAGUACGGCCGCAAGGUUG